UACGUAGGGUGCAGGCGUUAAUCGGAAUUACUGGCGUAAAGCGUGCGCAGGCGGUCUUUUAAGUCAGAUGUGAAAUCCCCGGGCUUAACCUGGGAACUGCGUUUGAAACUGGAAGGCUUGAGUGUGGCAGAGGGGGUGGAAUUCCACGUGUAGCAGUGAAAUGCGUAGAGAUGUGGAGGAACACCGAUGGCGAAGGCAGCCCCUGGCUAACACUGACGCCUCAUGCACGAAGCGUGGGAGCAAACAGGA
rnacentral:rRNA from 1 species